AGAGUUUGAUCCUGGCUCAGGAUGAACGCUGGCGGCGUGCUUAACACAUGCAAGUCGAACGAAGCACCUAAGAAUGAUUCUUCGGAUGAAGUCUUUUGUGACUGAGUGGCGGACGGGUGAGUAACGCGUGGGUAACCUGCCUCACACAGGGGGAUAACAGUUGGAAACGACCGCUAAUACCGCAUAAGCCAACGGAACCGCAUGGUUCAGUUGGAAAAGAUUGAUCGGUGUGAGAUGGACCCGCGUCUGAUUAGCCAGUUGGCAGGGUAACGGCCUACCAAAGCGACGAUCAGUAGCCGGCCUGAGAGGGUGAACGGCCACAUUGGGACUGAGACACGGCCCAAACUCCUACGGGAGGCAGCAGUGGGGAAUAUUGCACAAUGGGGGAAACCCUGAUGCAGCGACGCCGCGUGAGUGAAGAAGUAUUUCGGUAUGUAAAGCUCUAUCAGCAGGGAAGAAAAUGACGGUACCUGACUAAGAAGCCCCGGCUAACUACGUGCCAGCAGCCGCGGUAAUACGUAGGGGGCAAGCGUUAUCCGGAUUUACUGGGUGUAAAGGGAGCGUAGACGGCCAGACAAGUCAGAAGUGAAAGCCCGGGGCUCAACUCCGGGACUGCUUUUGAAACUGCCAGGCUGGAGUGCAGGAGAGGUAAGCGGAAUUCCUAGUGUAGC
rnacentral:rRNA from 1 species